CUGAGAGGAGCACUAUGUCUGUGCUAAGUCCGGGACAGGUCUGUAGUUAAAAUCUAACUGGUGUUACAGACUUUGUUGCCUGUAAUGUCUGCCCUGAAUGUUUUCUUGUGGCCAUACAGACUAAAGUGGAUGUGGAGAAAGAGGUUAUGCUACAUGGAGAGCUGAGCAAGUGUGAGAGAAGCCAGAGCUUGCUGAAGCUCUAAACCAAUGACAGUCUCUGUGAAGAAGCCCUUGGGCUCACCCCAUCCAUGCUAAGGCCUCCUGUGCAGAACUGCCUGCCACAGCCUAGGAGGAACUGAGCCCUUCCUAACACCACUGCCAUCUCAACUCACCUUCAG